rnacentral:lncRNA from 1 species
GAGAAAAACAGUUCGGCAGCUGUCUUGAUGAAACUCACUCCACCACUGCCUGAGAGUUUCACUGUGGAUCUUUAUUUCUCAUAUCCAUUGUGACUUUAUAAGCAUGAUGGCUGAACCUUCUUUCAUCACAGGCUCUCUGCGUCCAGACGGAGCUGUAAAGUAUCAUUCUGACGUGUUAGAGAGGAUCAGCCAUGAGAAACAAACGGAGUGUAGAACACAUACAGAAAACUGCUGGAGCUUCAGAAACCACAGACAAGCAAAAACCAACAGGACAGAGAGAGAAACAGAGGCCAGAAAUGAGACACAAACUACUGGAUCACAAGAGAAAAGCAGACAGACACAUACAAGAUGGAACAGUAUGGGGAAAACAAAGCCAGACUUGAAGACCUGAACAACAUCAGAGUCCAGAUACCUGCGGCUGAAGACCACAACAUCAUCAUCAUCAUCAUCACAGACUCCAUCCAUCCAUGGACUCUUUUACAGACUCGAUCUCAAACUAACAGAAAUCUGAGUCGUUUCUUUCCCAGAUAACUGAUAACUGUUUUAUUGCUUUGAUGCUGCACUUUACUCUCACCAUUUUUACACCAUGAUCCACCUCUGCAUUUGUGUCACAAAGAGACUGUGUUUCGUUUUGCGCUACCUCAUAUGUCUCAUGUACAUAAGAUCCACAUCUUUGUAUUUGUAUCACAAAGAGACUGUGAGAGAAUUACAAAGAGAAUUACAAAAUAAUUGUAAUCAGUUUUAGUUACUGAGAAAAAAAUGUGUAAUUCAAUUACAGUUACUUAUGAAAAUGUUAAAGAUUACAAAGGGGGUUACUUUUGAAUAUUUUUAACACACACACCCACAUACAGAUUUAACUGAUUUCUUUCAUAAAUUGCAUUGACUGAUCUAAAAUAUGAGACACCGAUGUUUCAGGAGUUUAGGACACAG